rnacentral:rRNA from 1 species
UACGAAGGGGGCUAGCGUUGCUCGGAAUCACUGGGCGUAAAGCGCACUAGGCGGCUUCUUAAGUCAGGGGUGAAAUCCCGGGGCUCAACCCCGGAACUGCCCUUGAAACUGCAGUGCUAGAAUCUUUGGAGAGGCGAGUGGAAUUCCCGAGUGUAGAGGUGAAAUUCGUAGAUAUUCGGAAGAACACCAGUGGCGAAGGCGACUCGCUGGACAAGUAUUGACGCUGAGGUGCGAAAGCGUGGGGAGCAAACAGG